GACGAACGCUGGCGGCGUGCCUAACACAUGCAAGUUGAGCGACGAACCAGGGCUUGCCCUGGGGCAAAGCAGCGAACGGGUGAGUAACACGUGGGUAACCUACCCCGAUAACCGGGACAACCCGAGGAAACUCGGGCUAAUACCGGAUGUGCUCACUGGACUUCGGUUCAGUGCGUAAAGGAAGCUUCGGCCUCCGUAUCGGGAGGGGCCCGCGGCCCAUUAGUUUGUUGGUGAGUUAACGGCUCACCAAGACCGCGAUGGGUAGCUGGUCUGAGAGGACGGUCGGCCACACUGGGACUGAGACACGGACCAGACUCCUACGGGAGGCAGCAGUGGGGAAUGUUGCGCAAUGGGCGAAAGCGUGACGCAGCAACGCCGCGUGGGGGAAGAAGGCCUUCGGGUUGUAAACCCCUUUCAGGAGGGACGAAGGUUCGGCGGUGAAUAGCCGUCCGGACUGACGGUACCUCCACAAGAAGCCCCGGCUAACUACGUG
rnacentral:rRNA from 1 species